rnacentral:rRNA from 1 species
AGCGUUGUCCGGAUUUAUUGGGCGUAAAGAGCGUGUAGGCGGCCAGGCAGGUCCGUUGUGAAAACUCGAGGCUCAACCUCGAGACGUCGAUGGAAACCAUCUGGCUAGAGUCCGGAAGAGGAGAGUGGAAUUCCUGGUGUAGCGGUGAAAUGCGCAGAUAUCAGGAAGAACACCCGUGGCGAAGGCGGCUCUCUGGGACGGUACUGACGCUGAGACGCGAAAGCGUGGGGAGCGAACAGG